UCCAGAACCAGCUGCUAAACAAGACGAACCCACUAAAGAUUCACCCGAGACCACAAAGGCAAAACCUCCUCCUAAUCCGUUAUUUGGUGAUGAUGAUGAUGACGAUAAAGAUGAGUGGUGGAAUUAGGAAAUUUAAAAACAAUCUUCUAUACAACUGUGUGUUUGGGUGGGCGUGUCUAUGGCCGAUUUAUUAUUAUUAUUAUUAUUAUUGUUGUUUGUGAUUAGUCAAUUAUUGUGCGUGUGUGCUUUUGUGAGCUGCUGUGUUUGUUUCUUUUUUUAAAUUGAGUACCUUUCAAGUUUUUUGAAAGACAUUCCUUUUGUACAAUAA